UACUGGCUACUCAGGCACUAUAAAUGACCGCCUGAACCUUUGCUCGGGUCCUUUGCCACUCCCCAGCACCAGGAAGUACUGUGAAAGGGAUUGGGAUUAGCAGAAGAACAUCAGAUAAGUUAGGGGUCUACACAGUGGAGAUGGUGGCAGUGUUGGUUGCUCUAAGAUGGGGACGGUAAUGCACCAACAAGCUGGAUGCCAACCGCCUAGAAACAUGACACAGAAGAAGAAGAAGGAAGCACUGAGUGACAUCUGCUGGCCGUCUGAGGAACAACAAACAGCAUUUUGGGAAAGACUGAUCAUAAGCCAGACAAUAUUCCAUUUUUUCCCCGCACACAUUCACACACACUUGUGCAGUCAUACACACACACUUCCCACUACCUUAAGACAAAAACAAAUUUAUCUUCCUGAGACUUCCAUUAAAAGAAU